CAGUCGAGCGGAUUUUCUGGAGCUUGCUCCAGAAAGUUAGCGGCGGACGGGUGAGUAACACGUGGGCAAUCUGCCCGUAAGACUGGGAUAACUCCGGGAAACCGGGGCUAAUACCGGAUAACCCUGACUCUCUCCUGAGAGUCAGUUGAAAGAUGGUUUCGGCUAUCACUUACGGAUGAGCCCGCGGCGCAUUAGCUAGUUGGUGAGGUAACGGCUCACCAAGGCGACGAUGCGUAGCCGACCUGAGAGGGUGAUCGGCCACACUGGGACUGAGACACGGCCCAGACUCCUACGGGAGGCAGCAGUAGGGAAUCUUCCGCAAUGGACGAAAGUCUGACGGAGCAACGCCGCGUGAGUGAAGAAGGUUUUCGGAUCGUAAAACUCUGUUGUCAGGGAAGAACACGUACGAGAGUAACUGCUCGUACCUUGACGGUACCUGACCAGAAAGCCACGGCUAACUACGUGCCAGCAGCCGCGGUAAUACGUAGGUGGCAAGCGUUGUCCGGAAUUAUUGGGCGUAAAGCGCGCGCAGGUGGUUCCUUAAGUCUGAUGUGAAAGCCCCCGG
rnacentral:rRNA from 1 species